rnacentral:rRNA from 1 species
UAUGAAGGGGGCUAGCGUUGCUCGGAAUUACUGGGCGUAAAGCGCACGUAGGCGGCUUUCUAAGUCGGGGGUGAAAUCCUGGAGCUCAACUCCAGAACUGCCUUCGAUACUGGAGCUUGAGUCCGGGAGAGGUGAGUGGAACUGCGAGUGUAGAGGUGAAAUUCGUAGAUAUUCGCAAGAACACCAGUGGCGAAGGCGGCUCACUGGCCCGGUACUGACGCUGAGGUGCGAAAGCGUGGGGAGCAAACAGGG